rnacentral:rRNA from 1 species
GACGGUGAGGGGCGAGCGUUGUCCGGAUUUAUUGGGCGUAAAGCGCGCGUAGGCGCCGCGCAAGUCGGAUGUGAAAACCCGGGGCUCAACCCCGGGCGUGCAUUCGAUACUGCGCGGCUCGAGACAGGUAGGGGAGAUCGGAAUUCCUGGUGUAGCGGUGAAAUGCGCAGAUAUCAGGAGGAACACCGGUGGCGAAGGCGGAUCUCUGGGCCUGUUCUGACGCUGAGGCGCGAAAGCUAGGGGAGCGAACAGG